rnacentral:tRNA from 4 species
UGGGCACCUGCGCCAGUCGCGCUCCCACUUCAUAGGUGGGAUAGGCCAAUUCGGGGAUGACGAUCAGGUCGUCGGUGCCCAGCC